ACACGAUAAGAGGACAGUUUACGUUUCAAUCGGAUGUUCGUAAAUGGUCUUUUUAUCGUGUAC
rnacentral:pre_miRNA from 1 species